AGCAAUUCACACAGCAAUAGCAGAAACACCAGAAGUCCAUGGUGGCACAGACUACACAGAAAAUCAUUUUUCUUUCCAAAAACAUACUUGUGCUUUACAAAAAACAGCUCAGUCAAUGAAAGCUUUGCACUAGAAAAGUUAAAUGGAAACAAGCAGAACAGAGAUUGCAUGUGCACACCAAGGUGUUAGCCCACAUAAAAGUCCAAGGAAUUUUAAAUAGCCACCACCUUACCUGUAGUGAUAAGGAAAAUCCCAGGAGGAAAAAGAAAAAAAAAUCACUAGCUACUUGUGGCAGAGCACCAGAAUUAUGAAUCCUGGAAAGAACAACUUCAGGAGCAGUUCCGUCACAGCGGCAGCCCCCUCGGAAUCGAGCGGAAUGGAGAAGCAGCAAUAAUUCAUGUUUUUUAUUGUACGGGUUUUCUUUGGUCUCUGUAAUUGCAUGGUGCCCCCCCACUCAGCACCAUAUGGUCCCCCCUCUGUGAAUGCAGACUCCGCCUCUGCACAAGCAGGAUAGGCAGUCUUAUCCACUCCUCCCCAGUCCCUGGUUUUGUUACUGGACUGUGGUCCUUCUGUACCCCCCAUUGGUUAGCAGAGCCCUCAAGCCACUCUCUUUCCCCCAGACCUGGGCCCAAUCACGUUCUUCCUUCUAGCCCUCCCCCCAAGAUGAUAUAAGCCGCGGGACUUUCGAAUAAAGGACUUUUCUCCUUGGAACUCAGAGAAGGAACUAGGUUGCUCUCUCCUCCUGCUAAGGAGGACCGGGUGGCUGAGAUUCCUCUGAGAAACCGCAAGUGAGGAGUCGGAGCAAUCAAUUUCUGUUAAUUGGCGCCCAACAGGAGAACCAUGCGAAAUUUUCUACUGUGUAGAAAAUUUUCUACUGUGUAGAAAAUUUUUGGGCAUCUCCAGGCUCAGGCGACGUAGCGCCCUUGGCUUCCCGCUCAAAUGGAUUUCUGCAACUCAGCAUUGGAUUUCGACCUAGGCCAGCACAGGUGGUAAUAGUAUUACUACAGGAACAUGAACAUUCAAGAACAUUUUGUACCAUCUGAUCUGUUCUUGAUGUGAAUGCAUGAGUCAAAAAAUUGCUCCGAUUAAGUCCAAAUCACUCAUAACUUGCUAAAUGAGACAUUUAGAAGCACAGUAGGGCACAACAGAGGAAAGCUUUGGAUGUACUCAUGCAACUUUCCAGCUCAACAGCAGUGAUGUUACAAAUCUUUAAAGCACACCUCACCCAAAUCGCCCCAGAACAAGAUGUAACAAGUAAAGAUUAUCUCUCCAGACUAGAGCCCAGCCACUGUUAUGACCCAGGUGAGUCUUCUCAAUCUUAUGCUUACCUUGUGAAGUUCACAGAAUGAGAUUAUAUAAUUUAAAAACUCUCAUGCAACCAGAAAUAUGGUAUGUGCCCAACUAGCAAAAAAAC